CAGUCGCCGCGGGAAUACGAAGGGGGCUAGCGUUGUUCGGAUUUACUGGGCGUAAAGGGUGCGUAGGCGGACUGAUAAGUCAGGGGUGAAAUCCCAAGGCUCAACCUUGGAACUGCCUUUGAUACUGUUAGUCUUGAGUUCGAGAGAGGUGAGUGGAACUGCGAGUGUAGAGGUGAAAUUCGUAGAUAUUCGGAAGAACACCAGUGGCGAAGGCGACACACUGGCUCACUACUGACGCUGAGGCGCGAAAGCGUGGGGAGCAAACAGGAUUAGAUACCCGUGUAGUCCCUGUCUCUUAUAC
rnacentral:rRNA from 1 species